rnacentral:rRNA from 1 species
AGUGAACGCUGGCGGUAGGCCUAACACAUGCAAGUCGAACGGCAGCACAGUAAGAGCUUGCUCUUACGGGUGGCGAGUGGCGGACGGGUGAGGAAUACAUCGGAAUCUACUUUUUCGUGGGGGAUAACGUAGGGAAACUUACGCUAAUACCGCAUACGACCUACGGGUGAAAGCAGGGGAUCUUCGGACCUUGCGCGAUUGAAUGAGCCGAUGUCGGAUUAGCUAGUUGGCGGGGUAAAGGCCCACCAAGGCGACGAUCCGUAGCUGGUCUGAGAGGAUGAUCGGCCACCCUGGAACUGAGACACGGUCCAGCCUCCUACUGGAGGCAGCAGUGGGGAAUAUUGGACAAUGGGCGCAAGCCUGAUCCAGCCAUACCGCGUGGGUGAAGAAGGCCUUCGGGUUGUUGAGCCCUUUUGUUGGGAAAGAAAAGCAGCAGGUUAAUACCCCGCUGUUCUGACGGUACCCAAAGAAUAAGCACCGGCUAACUUCGUG